UCCGGCAGAGAGCGCGGAGAGACACAGAACGCAGCCCGCUCCUCCGGGGCCCUCCAGGCCCUCCAGGCCCUCCGGCCCCGGGCCGGCGGGUGAACUGGGGGGCCCCGGGACAGGCUGAGCCCUCUGCCCUGCAGAUACCAGAGGCCUCUGCUGUGGCUGCCCACUGGCUGUGCCCAGGUCUUGAAGCCGCAGCGAACCUCUCUUUCCCACCCCACCUCGGUUACUGAUGGCGGCAGCUGCGUGUCCCCGCCCGGACCCAGCCGGCGGCCGGGUCUCCCGACCCAAGCCUGCCGGACCUCGACGAAACCGCCGCAGAGCCGCCGGGACGCAGCGCCUUUGGGCGGCGCCGGGCGUGGUGGGCCGGGAAGUAUGGCGGCCGCUCGAACGCCGCGCGGCGGAGGCCAUUAAGGCGUAGAGGGCCGGGGAAGGCGGCCUAGGGACGCAAGCAGGCUCGGCCGCCUCUUUAGGCCACGGAGCCGCGCAGAUCCGGUUCCCGGGUGACCACUCUGUCGCCAUUGGGCGAGACCUACCUAGUCCUGACGACAACGGACAAAGGCCUUAAGGGGCCUGGAAGGUGAACGAAGUCCCGAACGACGACGGGUGGAACAGUUAGCAGCCAUCAGGCGGUUGGUCUUCCUUCUCCCAGACUUUGCUGUCGGAAGAGAAAAAUGGUAGAAUGACAGGCCACGUUUGGCCCGUUGGAAAUGCCCACCACCUUCUGGGAAGAUUGACUGGCCGUUUAUGGAAGGCCUGUGUAUAUAAUAUGAAAAAGCUGCUCUCAACUCCACCCCAACCUUUUAAUAGAAAACAUUUGUCACAUCUAGCCCAUCUAGAUGGAAAGAGGUUGCCGACGUAUGAUUAAUAGAGUAGAAAGUCACACAUCUUGCAAAUUCUCAUUUCUUUAAAAGAAAUCAUAGAAAAUACAUGUCUUCUGGAGAUGACUUUUGGAAAUGGAGUUGUUAAGACGGCCUCUGGAAGCGAUAUGUCCACGUUUGUUAAGUGGGUUAGAUGACAUGGAGCUGGAAGACCUGAGAAGGAAAAGAAGGUUCUAUGCUAGACUGGUCAUAUUUAGAAGACAUUUUCAUGUUCUAUCCAUUGUUUUGUGUGCAUUUUAUUCCUCACUACUGUGUAUAUAGUUGACAAUGCUAAGCUUUUUUGAAAUGUCUAUUCUUUUUAGAUGUUCUGAAAUGCCUGAUAUGUUAAAAUUAGAGGUAGCAAAAUCACAUUUUGUAAAUACCUUUUUGUUACAAUUCAUAGGAAAUGUUUUUUGGGGGGAAUGGCCAAAUCACCUGUUGAGUAAUACUCAUUGUGUUUGUGCAGUGGUUCAGGGCAGGAGAGAGGAGGGGGAGGUGCAGAGAGCUCUAUGCCAUCCUGUUUACAGCGAGGCAAGAUGAAUCAUUAUCUCUGUGCAUUUUGUUUUACUUAUCUGUGUAUAUAGUGUACAUAAAGGACAGGCGAGUCCUAAUUGACAACAUCUAGUCUUUCUGGAUGUUAAAGAGGUUGCCAGUGUAUGACGAAAGUAGUAAACUAAUAUAUUUUGUACAUUUUGUUUUACAAGUCCUAGGAAAGAUUGUCUUCUGAAAAUUUGAUGUCUUCUGGGUUAAUGGAGAUGGGAAGGGUUCUAGGCCAGAAUGUUCACAUUUGGAAGACUCUUUCAAAUUAUAACUGUUGUUACAUGUUUGCAGUUUAUUCAAGACUGCUGUAUACAUAGUAGACAAAUUAACUCCUUACUUGAAAUAUCUAGUCUAUCUAGAUGUUUAGAAGUGCCCAAUGUAUGUUAAAUGUAGAGAUAGUAAAAUACCACUUUGUAAAUAUCUUUUUGCUAAAAUUCAUAGGAAAUACUUUUGGAAAUUGAAUUGUGAAGCCACCUUUGUGAGCAGUAUAGUAAUGUCUAUACUUGUUCAAUGGUUUAGAGGAAGUGGGAGGGAAGAAAUUGCAAAAGGUAAUAUACUAGUGUGUUCAUACUUGGACAUUUUCAGACACCAUUUUUCUAUAUGUUUUGUGCAUUUUGUUUUGUUCCGUAUAUAGUGCAUAUAAUGGACAAAUAGUCCUAAUUUUUCAACAUCUAGUCUGUAGAUGUUAAAGAGGUUGCCAGUGUAUGACAAAGUAGUAAAGUUAGCAUAUUUUGUACUCUGUGUUGAAAUUCAUAGGAAAACUUGUCUUCUGUAAAUGACUUUUCAUAGGAAUUUGUUCAACCAUCUCUAAGCAUUACACGUGCCUGUACUUGUCCACUGGAUUGAAGGCAGAGAAGGAAGGGAGGAGGGAAUGAUUCAAGGCCAAAAUGGCCACAUUUAGAAGAUACCUCAGAUGAUAACCAUUGUUAUGUGUGUGCAAUUUUAUUUAACAGUGCUGUGUAUGUGGUGGACAAGUUAUAUGAAAUAUCUAGUCUUUUAAGAUAUUUGGAAGUGCUUGAUGUAUUUAAAAGUGGUAGUAGAAGAACGCUUUGUAAAUAGCUUUUAAAAACUGAUGGAAAUGCUGUUUGGAAGUGGAAUUGUUGAACCACCUGGGAGGUGGGAGGGAAGAAAUUGCAAACGGUGUUUUGACAUUUUUUAUUAGAAAAUUUCAGCUUAAUCCAUUGCCUAUAUGUUACAUGCAUUUCAUUUAACUUUGCUAUACUGUAUAUAUUGUGUAUAUAAUGGACAAAUGAGUCCCGAUUUUAUAAUAUCUAGUCUCUAGAUAUUAAAGAGGUUGCCAAUGUAUGAGAGAAAUGGAGUUAGUAAACUAACACAUUUUGUACACUUUGUUAAAAUUUGUAGAAAGGCUGUCUUCUGAAAAGGACUUUUGGAAGUGAGAUAACAUCAGCUCCAAGUGACACGUGCCUAUAUCCGCCAGGUUGGUGGUGGAGAGGAGUUGGAAGGAAUGAAGGGUUCUAGACCAGAAUGUUCCUAUUUAGAAGACACUUUCAGAUAUAGCCAUUGUUACAUGUGUGUAGUUUAUUCAACACUACUGUGUAUGUAGCGGACAAACUUAAGUCCUUAUUUGAAACAUCUAGUCUUUCUAGAUGUUUAGAAGUGCACAAAGUAUGUUAAAAGUAGAGGUAGUAAAUAACACAUUUUGUAGCUAUCCUUUUGAUAUGGAAUAUUGUCUUGGAAAUUGAUCAAUUCUCUGAGCAGUACACAUUUUGAUAUUUGUGCUGGUUCAGGGGGAAGGAGGAGCACAAAGUGCAAAGGGCAUUCUACCAGUGUCCAGUGUGUUUAUGAGGAGGCACAUUGACCAUUGUCCCUUAUGUCUGCAUUUUCAUUUACUGUGCUGUGUAUAUAGUGUAUAUAAGCGGACUUAGGAGUCCUAAUUUACAUCUAGUCGAUGUUAAAAAGGUUGCCAGUAUAUGACAAAAGUAGAAUUAGUAAACUACUACAUUGAGUACACUUUGUGUUAAAAUUCAUAGGGAAGACUUCUUAAAAACAGAAAUGAAAUUGUUAAAAUCCCCCCUAAGCAUUACAUAUGGCUUAUAGCUGUCCACGGGGUUGGUAGAGGUGGGAAAGGGAAGGGUUCUAGGCCAGAAUGUUCCUAUUUAGAAGACACUCAAAUUACAGUCUGUGUUAUGUAUGUAUACCAUUUAUUCAAUGCUACUGUGUAUGUAAUGGAAAACUUAAGUCCAGUUUGAAACAUCUAGUCUUUCUAGGUGUUUAAAAGUGUACAACGGCCUGUCGCAGUGGCUCGUACCUGUAAUCCCAGCACUUUGGGAGGCCAAGGCAGGCGGAUCACGAGGUCAAGAGAUGGAGACCAUCUUGGCCAACAUGGUGAAACCCCAUCUGUAUUAAAAAUACAAAAAUUAUCUGGUCGUGGUGGUGUCCACCUGUAGCCGCAGUUACUCGGGAGGCUGAGGCAGGAGAAUCGCUUGAACUUGGGAGGUGGAGGUUGCAGUGAGCCGAGAUCGCACCACUGCACUCCAGCCUGGCAACAGAGCGAGACUCCGUUUCAAAAACAAAAGUGCACAACGUAGGUUAAAAGUAGAGGGCUUAAGUAACACCCCUCUAAGCAUUUGCUUUCAGUACUUCCUAGGAGUGGUUGCAUUUGGGAAUGGAAUUGUUAAAACGUGAUGCUUAGGAGUGAGUGCAGACUAUUCACGGGGUGGUUGGGGCGGGGGAAGCGGGGUAGGCAGAGGACGUAUGCAGGGAGAAGGGUUCUGUGCUCCUGAGAUUAGUUCAGAUGGUCUAACCAUUGUUCUAUAUGUGCAUUUUAGUUAAUAUUGUGUAUUAAAGGAUAAGUCUUAAUGCUCAAAGUAUGUUAAAAAUAGAUGUAGUAAAUCAGUCCCUUUGUGAAUGUCCUUUUGUUAGUUUUUAGGAAGGCCUGUCUUCUGGGAGUGACCUUUAUUAGUCCACUUCUUGGAGCUACACAUCCUAUACUUAGUCACUGGGAUGGUGGAAGAGGGAGAAGAGGAAGGGUGAAGGGAAGGGCUCUUUGCUAGUAUCUCCAUAUCUAGACGAUGGUUUUAGAUGAUAAUCACAGGUAUAUAUGAGUGUUUUUAAUAAAGUGCCUGUGUUCAUUGUGGACAGUUAUUAUUUUGCAACAUCUAAGCUUUACAAAUGGGGUGACAACUUAUGAUAAAAACUAGAGCUGGUGAAUUAGCCUAUUUGUAAAUACCUGUGUUAUAAUUGAUAGAAAAGAUGCAUCUUGGACAUGGAAUUGUUAAGCCACCUCUGAGCAGUGUAUGUCAGGACUUGUUCAUUAGGUUGGCAGCAGAGGGGCAGAAGGAAUUAUACAGGUAGAGAUGUAUGCAGAUGUGUCCAUAUAUGUCCAUAUUUACAUUUUGAUAGCCAUUGAUGUAUGCAUCUCUUUUGGCUUUACUAUAAGAACACAUUAAGUAAUUCAAUGGAAAUAUACUUUGCUAAUAUUUUAAUGGUAUAUAUCUGCUGUUGAAUUCUCUUAAAAAUAUACUUAGUGUAUUCUGUUGCUGUGUUUUCAUUUUAAAUUGAACAUUAAGGGAAUGCAGCAUUUAAAUCGGAACUCUGCCAAUGCUUUUAUCUAGAGGUGUGUUGCCAUUUUUGUCUUCUAUGAAAUUUUUGUCCCAAGAAAGGCAGGAUUAUUUUUUUUUUUUUUAGCAGUUUGAGUUGGUGUAGUGUAUUCUUAGUUAUCAAAAUACUCAUAUAGCUUUGGGAUUUUGAAUUGGUGAAUAUUCAUGAUGUGUGAAAAAUCAUGAUACAUACUGUACAAUCUCAGUCCCAUAAAAUUGGAUGUUGUGCCUACUCACAGGAUCUAGAAGAAUAUGUCAAACUAUAAACUGCUUGUGAUUGUGAAUGACUUUGUUCUUUGCUUCUUGUGUUUUUCGGUUUCCUGUAAUGCACAUAUUAACUUUUAAAAAAUAAAGGUUAUUUUAAAAGCCUGAAAAAAAAAAUCUGACUUCAGUGUUGAACUAAAAAAGUGAAAUAAUUUCCAUCCCAGACAUGUGAUAUGUCCCAAAAGCAAUUUUUAUAUCUUGUAAAAAAUACACAAGCAGCUAAAUAACAUAAAUAAUAGGCCCUCAGAGGUCAAACAUUUUGACUAAAAA
rnacentral:antisense_RNA from 1 species